rnacentral:rRNA from 1 species
GACGGAGGAUGCAAGCGUUAUCCGGAAUGAUUGGGCGUAAAGCGUCCGCAGGUGGCAGUUCAAGUCUGCUGUCAAAGACCGGGGCUCAACCUCGGAAAGGCAGUGGAAACUGAACAGCUAGAGUAUGGUAGGGGCAGAGGGAAUUCCUGGUGUAGCGGUGAAAUGCGUAGAGAUCAGGAAGAACAUCGGUGGCGAAGGCGGUCUGCUGGACCAUAACUGACACUCAGGGACGAAAGCUAGGGGAGCGAAUGGG